rnacentral:rRNA from 1 species
CAACUUUGUACUGUGAAACUGCGAAUGGCUCAUUAAAUCAGUUAUAGUUUAUUUGAUGGUUUUUGCUACAUGGAUAACUGUGGUAAUUCUAGAGCUAAUACAUGCAUUCAAGCCCCGACUUCUGGAAGGGGUGUAUUUAUUAGAUAAAAAUCAACUUUGUUGGUGAAUCAUAAUAACUUCUCGGACCGCAUGGCCUCGUGCUGGCGAUGCUUCAUUCAAAUAUCUGCCCUAUCAACUGUCGAUGGUAGGAUAGAGGCCUACCAUGGUUGCAACGGGUAACGGGGAAUAAGGGUUCGAUUCCGGAGAGGGAGCCUGAGAAACGGCUACCACAUCCAAGGAAGGCAGCAGGCGCGCAAAUUACCCAAUCCCAACACGGGGAGGUAGUGACAAUAUGUAACAAUAUACGGCCUUAUACGUCGUAUAAUUGGAAUGAGUACAAUUUAAAUCCCUUAACGAGGAACAAUUGGAGGGCAAGUCUGGUGCCAGCAGCCGCGGUAAUUCCAGCUCCAAUAGCGUAUAUUAAAGUUGUUGCAGUUAAAAAGCUCGUAGUUGGACCUUGGACCUGGACAGGCGGUCCGCCCUCACGGCGAGAACUGUCUUGCUGGGUCUUUCCUCU